rnacentral:rRNA from 1 species
CAGCCGCCGCGGGAACACGAAGGGUGCAAGCGUUACUCGGAAUUACUGGGCGUAAAGCGUGCGUAGGUGGUGGUUUAAGUCCGUUGUGAAAGCCCUGGGCUCAACCUGGGAAUUGCAGUGGAUACUGGGUCACUAGAGUGUGGUAGAGGAUAGUGGAAUUUCCGGUGUAGCAGUGAAAUGCGUAGAGAUCGGAAGGAACAUCUGUGGCGAAGGCGACUAUCUGGGCCAACACUGACACUAAGGCACGAAAGCGUGGGGAGCAAACAGGAUUAGAUACCCGCGUAGUCCCUGUCUCUUAUAA